rnacentral:rRNA from 1 species
CCCUUAGAUGUUCUGGGCCGCACGCGUGCUACACUGAGUGGAUCAGCGGGUCAGGUUGCGCGAAAGCGUUUCCUAAUCUUUAAAUCCGCUCGUGAUGGGGAUUGACGGUUGCAAUUUUCUGUCAUGAACGAGGAAUACCUUGUAAGCGCGGGUCAUCAUCCCGCGCUGAAUACGUCCCUGCCCUUUGUACACACCGCCCGUCGCUCCUACCGAUUGAGCGAUCCGGUGAAUGUUUUGGACUGGUGUCCGCAAGCGUUUCGCUUCGGACGCUACGAAAUUUUGUAAACCUUAUCGCUUAGAGGAAGGAAAAGUCGUAACA